rnacentral:rRNA from 1 species
AUGGACAAAGAAGCUGCAUACAUGAAGAGGAAGAAUCUGGAAAUUCCCACUACCUUCAAAGGUAAAUCAUUUGCUGUCCUUGACCCUGAUGUUCUUGUCUCUAACACUAGUAAGGUUGAUUUAUGCAUUGGGAGUAGCAUUGAUGAUCAAGUAGUUAUUGUCAUGGAUAUGAUAGAUGAGGAGAAAAAUCGUUGCCUUAAGUUUGCGGAUGAUAACCCGGAGAUUGUUCUCCCUGAGAAUCUCGAUUUAGAAACAAGGGGGGAUGAGUUCGAAAUUAUUAACAGUGACCUUCACAUUAAUGGUUCGGAUGGCACUGCUGAACCACUAAUGGAAAGUCCUGUCUUGAACACAAAAAAGAAGCCUUGUGGGUUGUCGCACCCAUUUAAGGUUAAAUGA